rnacentral:rRNA from 1 species
AGUAACGCGUGGGUAACCUGCCUCACACAGGGGGAUAACAGUUAGAAAUGACUGCUAAUACCGCAUAACCCGAUAGGAUCGCAUGAUCCAGACGGAAAAGAUUUAUCGGUGUGAGAUGGACCCGCGUCUGAUUAGCUAGUUGGUGAGGUAACGGCCCACCAAGGCGACGAUCAGUAGCCGGCCUGAGAGGGUGAACGGCCACAUUGGGACUGAGACACGGCCCAG